CGGUCGGGGGCCUUCGGUCGCUGCUCUGACCCAAGACGUGGAGGGCUUGCCCCCCGUAGCCUUGGCGAAGGGGGGAGGAAAGUCCGGACACCGUAGGGCAGGAUGCCUCGUGAAAACGGGGGACGUUACGUUAAAGCGUGAUGGACGGCCAGUGCCACAGAAAAUAUACCGUCUGCUUGAGCUGGGUUGCAGGGGACUUGUCCCCCGUAGCUCUAGCAAAGGGGGAUAAGGGUGAAAUGGUGGUGUAAGAGACCACCGGGUCAAGCGUAAGCGCGAUCGCAAGGUAAACCCCAUCCGGUGCAAGAUCAAAUAGGGAACGAGAGACGGCCCGUCUCAUUUCCCGCGGCGCGCAAGUAUUCGCGGGAUGGAAGUUUCGGGUUGAUCGCAAAGAUAAAUGACUGAACCCUGGCAGGGCCGCUUGCGGUGCUGGUGGGCCAACAGAAUCCGGCUUAUGACCCCCGAUCGUCGU
rnacentral:RNase_P_RNA from 1 species